CUAAUUUAGUAAGUGCCCGUACCGAUAACCGACACAGGUAGGCGAGGAGAGAAUCCUAAGAUGAGCGAGAGAACUCUUGUUAAGGAACUCGGCAAAAUGACCCCGUAACUUCGGGAGAAGGGGUGCUUGUGAAAGCAAGCCGCAGUGAAUAGGCCCAGGCGACUGUUUAUCAAAAACACAGGUCUCUGCUAAACCGCAAGGUGAUGUAUAGGGGCUGACGCCUGCCCGGUGCUGGAAGGUUAAGAGGAGAGGUUAGCGCAAGCGAAGCUUUGAAUUGAAGCCCCAGUAAACGGCGGCCGUAACGAUAACGGUCCUAAGGUAGCGAAAUUCCUUGUCGGGUAAGUUCCGACCCGCACGAAAGGCGUAACGAUCUGGGCGCUGUCUCAACAAGAGACUCGGUGAAAUCAUAGUACCUGUGAAGAUGCAGGUUACCCGCGACAGGACGGAAAGACCCCGUGGAGCUUUACUGUAGCUUGAUAUUGAGCACUGGUGACACAUGUACAGGAUAGGUAGGAGACGAAGAAGCCAGGACGCCAGUCUUGGUGGAGUCGCUGUUGGGAUACUACCCUUGUGUUACUGGGGUUCUAACCCGUGGCCAUGAUCUGGUCAGGGAACAGUGUCAGGUGGGCAGUUUGACUGGGGCGGUCGCCUCCCAAAGAGUAACGGAGGCGCCCAAAGGUUCCCUCAGAAUGGUUGGAAAUCAUUCGAAGAGUGUAAAGGCAGAAGGGAGCUUGACUGCGAGACCUACAAGUCGAGCAGGGACGAAAGUCGGGCUUAGUGAUCCGGCGGUACCGAAUGGAAGGGCCGUCGUUCAACGGAUAAAAGCUACCCCGGGGAUAACAGGCUGAUCUCCCCCAAGAGUUCACAUCGACGGGGAGGUUUGGCACCUCGAUGUCGGCUCAUCGCAUCCUGGGGCUGUAGUCGGUCCCAAGGGUUGGGCUGUUCGCCCAUUAAAGCGGUACGCGAGCUGGGUUCAGAACGUCGUGAGACAGUUCGGUCCCUAUCCGUCGUGGGCGUAGGAAAUUUGAGAGGAGCUGUCCUUAGUACGAGAGGACCGGGAUGGACACACCGCUGGUGUACCAGUUGUUCUGCCAGGAGCAUAGCUGGGUAGCUACGUGUGGACGGGAUAAACGCUGAAAGCAUCUAAGCGUGAAGCCCCCCUCAAGAUGAGAUUUCCCAUUCGAAAGAAGUAAGAUCCCUUGAAGACGACAAGGUAGAUAGGUCAGAAGUGGAAGUGUGGUGACACAUGGAGCGGACUGAUACUAAUCGAUCGAGGACUUAACC
rnacentral:rRNA from 1 species